rnacentral:rRNA from 1 species
UACGUAGGGUGCAAGCGUUGUUCGGAUUUACUGGGCGUAAAGGGCGCGUAGGCGGCGCGGUAAGUCACUUGUGAAAUCUCUGAGCUUAACUCAGAACGGCCAAGUGAUACUGCAGUGCUAGAGUGUGGAAGGGGCAAUCGGAAUUCUUGGUGUAGCGGUGAAAUGCGUAGAUAUCAAGAGGAACACCUGAGGUGAAGACGGGUUGCUGGGCCAACACUGACGCUGAUGCGCGAAAGCCAGGGGAGCAAACGGG